UGGGGAAGCAAUUCGUCGAACA
rnacentral:miRNA from 1 species